CAUUAUCUUUGGCUGUAUAUGUUUUCUCUUCAUGUUCUGUUUGAUCCCAUUUUCCUUCGUCUUUUGGAUCUAUCGCACAUUUGUAUUCACUUGCAACUUAGCUUAAUAUAAUCUUGUUCCUUCACUAACAAAAAAAAAAAUGAUGCCCCAAAGAAUCAACAACAAACUCAUCAUGUUGACUCUACAUAAAUUAGUACUAAGGUAUGUCGAUAUGAUACUAAUACAUGCCAUACCAAUCCAAUGUGUACAAAUGUUGGAAGAGAGAGGGAGGGAGG
rnacentral:lncRNA from 1 species